AGUGGGAUAACUGGAUCAAAUGGUGCUUCCAGUCCCAGUUUUCUGAGAAAUUUCCAUACUGCUUUCCAGAGUGGUUUACCAAUUUGCAGUCCCACCAGCAAU
rnacentral:pre_miRNA from 1 species